CACGUAGGGUGCGAGCGUUGUCCGGAAUUAUUGGGCGUAAAGAGCUCGUAGGCGGUGUGUCGCGUCGGCCGUGAAAACCUGCAGCUUAACUGUGGGCUUGCGGUCGAUACGGGCAUCACUGGAGUUCGGCAGGGGAGACUGGAAUUCCUGGUGUAGCGGUGAAAUGCGCAGAUAUCAGGGAGGAACACCCGGUGGGCCGAAGGCGGGUCUCUGGGCCGAUACUGACGCUGGAGGAGCG
rnacentral:rRNA from 1 species